ACAGUAAGAGCUUGCUCUUAUGGGUGGCGAGUGGCGGACGGGUGAGGAAUACAUCGGAAUCUACUCUUUCGUGGGGGAUAACGUAGGGAAACUUACGCUAAUACCGCAAACGACCUACGGGUGAAAGCGGAGGACCUUCGGGCUUCGCGCGAUUGAAUGAGCCGAUGUCGGAUUAGCUAGUUGGCGGGGUAAAGGCCCACCAAGGCGACGAUCCGUAGCUGGUCUGAGAGGAUGAUCAGCCACACUGGAACUGAGACACGGUCCAGACUCCUACGGGAGGCAGCAGUGGGGAAUAUUGGACAAUGGGCGCAAGCCUGAUCCAGCCAUGCCGCGUGGGUGAAGAAGGCCUUCGGGUUGUAAAGCCCUUUUGUUGGGAAAGAAAAGCAGUCGGUUAAUACCCGAUUGUUCUGACGGUACCCAAAGAAUAAGCACCGGCUAACUUCGUGCCAGCAGCCGCGGUAAUACGAAGGGUGCAAGCGUUACUCGGAAUUACUGGGCGUAAAGCGUGCGUAGGUGGUGGUUUAAGUCUGUUGUGAAAGCCCUGGGCUCAACCUGGGAAUUGCAGUGGAUACUGGGUCACUAGAGUGUGGUAGAGGGUAGCGGAAUUCCCGGUGUAGCAGUGAAAUGCGUAGAGAUCGGGAGGAACAUCCGUGGCG
rnacentral:rRNA from 1 species